rnacentral:tRNA from 1 species
UCCCUGAUAGUAUAGUGGUCAGUGCGCCCAUCUUAUAAUUGGGAGGCCGAGGUUCGAUUCCUCGUCAGGGAG